GUCUAUGGGUUCACGCGCGUCACUACGCACAUGUCACGUGUACGUGUUGCAUACGCAAUUGGUGUGAAUCGGCCAUAACUCCGAAAGUAAGACGUGCAUCUCCCGAAUAGGGGGCGGACGUCUUAACCACUAUGGUCGUCACGGCUAAUAUUAUUUUAUGGUAAAAAGUAUGUAUAGUAUAGAUAGGUUUUAAGUAUAGAUAGAUUAAAAUUCAAUCCGAAGCUCGUCCCUGCGGCGUAGGUACGUGCCUGUGAUGUGACACAUCCCUUGCCCUAACGACAACAUCCAUUUCCGCACGCGUCAAACAAGCGUCAAGAUCAAAUUAAACAGAAAGAUUUAUUUCCACCCACGCUCCUAUCUCGUGAAUAUUUGUCAAGGGAAUAAUAGACUAAGAGCCCGCGAGGGACAGACCUUCGUUAUUUUAUAAAAGUUGAAAGUUUCCCUGCGUAUCGUCUCCAACACAGAGAAGAACGAUCCGUGACAAAGUUUGGAUCAUUGUGGCUUUUUCAGAUAGCAGGUAACAAAUAGGCUACAAUCGUUCCUGCCUGUGUUGGGGGCAAUACGCAGAGAAACUUUCAGCUUUUUUAAUAUAAUGAAUGUAUGACCCUCGCGGGCUCUCUCUCUAUAGGACUGAUACAAUUUUGCUGUGCUCAAAAUGGAUUUUGUCUGUCCCCGAAGAUUAUUCUUAGCCCAAUACAAAAUCUAAUUGGAAUACACGCUAUUUUGCAUUUUGCUAAUAUUUUUUUUGGUUCUGCUAUAAAUUCAUGUUAUUUUAAAUGCGAAAGUGUUUGUUGGGUUAUCGGUUUGCCCUUCAAUCACGCCGCAACGGAGUUACGGAUCAGCAUGAUUUUUGUAUGGUUAUAGUUACCUGGAGAGUGACACUUUAUAUCCCGGAAAAUCAAAGAGUUCCCACGGGAUUUUAAAACGUAAACCCACGAGGACAAAGUUACGGGCAUUAGCUAAUAACUACAUUAUAUAAAUACCUAUACACUCAAAGCUACCUAAGCACCUACCUAUAUAUUAACUUUUUAAAUUUAAAAUUUUACAGUUUUUACUACAUAAUGACCAUCGAACGAUGGAACUUUCAGAUGCUAAUCUCACUUUUGAGAAUUUUUGUUUCCAUAAGAUAGUUUUAAAGAUGUUUUGUCAGAUUAAGAAAAACCAUUGAGUACAAGAAAUCAAUUAUUUAUUUAUAUAAUAACAAAUAUAUCAUUUGUUAUAAAUUAUUUACCUAUUAUUAUUCAGCUGCCAAUUACUAUGAAUAUACAUUGCGGCUAAUUGUAUUUUACACAACAUCUUAAGUAAACUGAGAGGUCAAAUCUUUUAUCCUAUCCACGGAAUGAAGUUAAUACAGUGCUCUAGAGCAUUUGUAUUGGAUUACGUUAUAGCUAUAACGUAAUCCCAUACAAAUGAUAGAACCAGAAAUCUCAGCCGGCGCUAACUAUUUGAGUCACCAACCAAUCACAAACUAAACUAUGUUUUCUAAUUAACCGACUUCAUUGAAUUUCGAAUGUUUUUAAAAACAUUUUCGAUUUGGAAUUCGAAUGUUUUUUGAAAACACGUUUGCGAUUUGUUGGUAACUCAAAUUGGUUAACGCCCACUGAGAUUAUUGGCUCUAUCAUUUGUAUGGGAUUACGUAACAGAGAGAGCGCUAUACAACUUCACUCCGUGGAUAUAUUAUAUCUGUCAUUUAAAUUUAUUAUAGAGAUUGUAUAGAACAGAAUUAGCCACAAUUAUUUAAUUAAUUAAGAAGUAGAGUCAAUAUUACUCCUGUAAUCUUAUAAAUAAUGACGCUAUUCUAAGCCUUUAUAAUUUUAUUAUUAUAUAACUAUUAAAUAAUUAUAUUUAUACACUAGGUAAAUAUUAUUUUUAUAAGCACUUACAGAAUUUCGCCGGGUUUUUAUCUUUUGUUUUGAACCCGGCGAGGCCACAUGAUCAAAUGGUCAAAAUUGUCAUAAAGAAUAAGAGCGGUAACGCACUCAUCCGAUCUGAGUGCGUAAAAAUACUGAGAUUUGAAUCCGAGGCACAUCCGAGAUAUUCUCACGGAUGAUGGACAGAACUCGGAAGUCGGAGCUACUACGUAAGCUACCAUACAAAUAGUUCUAUGACUACUUCGGAACGUAUUUUCACGGAUUCGGCUCGGAUGCAGUGCGCAAUAGCCCUAAAGAGCAAGAUCCCGGAGCCGCCAGACGUUACUUAUUUUCUGAGAAACAAAAUAU